rnacentral:rRNA from 1 species
UCGAACGCGAAAGCCCCGCAAGGGGUAAGUAGAGUGGCGAACGGGUGAGUAACACGUGGGUGACCUACCUUCGAGUGGGGGAUAACGUCCCGAAAGGGACGCUAACACCGCAUAACAUCCUGCUCUUGAAUGAGUGGAGAUCAAAGCCGGGGAUCGCAAGACCUGGCGUUUGAAGAGGGGCCCGCGUCUGAUUAGCUAGUUGGUGAGGUAAUGGCCCACCAAGGCGACGAUCAGUAUCCGGCCUGAGAGGGCGGACGGACACACUGGGACUGAGACACGGCCCAGACUCCUACGGGAGGCAGCAGUGGGGAAUUGUUCGCAACGGGCGCAAGCCUGACGACGCAACGCCGCGUGGAGGAUGAAGGUCUUCGGAUUGUAAACUCCUGUUGCCCGGGACGAAACGUUUCGACCCAACACGUCGAGACCUGACGGUACCGGGCGAGGAAGCCCCGGCUAACUCUGUGCCAGCAGCCGCGGUAAUACAGAGGGGGCAAGCGUUGUUCGGAAUUACUGGGCGUAAAGGGCGCGUAGGCGGCCUUCUAAGUCGAACGUGAAAUCCCCGGGCUCAACCCGGGAACUGCGUCCGAUACUGGAAGGCUUGAAUCCGGGAGAGGGAUGCGGAAUUCCAGGUGUAGCGGUGAAAUGCGUAGAUACCUGGAGGAACACCGGUGGCGAAGGCGGCAUCCUGGACCGGCAUUGACGCUGAGGCGCGAAAGCCAGGGGAGCAAACGGGAUUAGAUACCCCGGUAGUCCUGGCCCU